UGGCUUGUCACAGCUUUAGUUUUGGCUCCCAGAAGACUGAUGAUAGUUAGAUACAUGGGUGCCUCGGUUGUAAAAAAACAACAUUUCUUUACUACCUUGUGUGCACAUGAUUGAAAUCUGGUUUGACUGGGAGGGCUGGGUAGCCUCUACCUGUCAAAAUGGAUUGGACGUCGAGUGCCAUCAAUGGCAGCCAGUGAGUUAAAGGGUAAGUUCAUAAUUUUUGACAUCAGGCCUAAUCUUCGAGUUGUGUGUGUGUGUGUGGGGGGGGGGGUUAAUUCGUCAGCGGAGUUGAUUGAAAAAAAUUCUGUAUUGUUUGUUAGUCUUUUAUUAUUUUCAGAGCUCCUCAGUGAUUAUGCUAAUGCAAGUCAAUUUGGCCAAUUAGCAUGCUAAUAAAAACAUAUUCACAGAUCUAAUAUAGUCAAAUAAAUUCAAAACGCAGCUCAACAUAAAAAAAAAUAAAAAAAAAACCUGCAGCCAAAACAAGGUCUCACCAAACUGCCGUAAUUCAUUUAAUUCAGCGGGACUAUUUUUCCAUAUGCAAUGGCACCUCAAUAGAGGGUACUGCUAUGGCCACUCGUCUUCACCUCGGUCUGCUAUGCAGUGUUCACGGAAGGACGUCAACAUGGUGAAAUUUGCUUUUAGAAGCUGUGGAAACUUACAGAAGAAAUUGACAAAGGAAAGUUUCCACCGCUUGCCUGUGAAGAACGAGGAACUAUAUAAAAAGUGUUUACUCUGCUGGAUAUGACAUACACACACCGGUGGGAAAAGUACUGCUUUGGAGUAUUUGCAGCGCGCAUUUUCAUCGGUAUCCUCUCCUGAAACCAAAUGCUGUGCCUUCAACUGUCCAAACGUAUACAAGAGCUUCUGAUAAACAGGUGACCUGAAGAUGCAGAAGGUACACCCAGAAGAGGUUCCACUUUGUUUUUAACUCCAUGAAGGCAAGGGCACCAGCAAGCGAGGAAUGCUGAUGGGACUUUGAGAUACAGCUUGGAGUUUCCAAAGCAAACGAAAAGAUGGGUUGCCCGGAGGACUUACGAGUCAACAAUGCAGACAUUCUGACAGAAUCUGGUGGCGCAUGUCCUGGAAAGACAGUUCAGUGAUCAGUGAAGUUUGCUGAUCCAGACUUUUAUUUCAAGCCUCCAACUACAAUUCCCCAAACCAUUGCAGGCAUCAAAAGGCCUGAUAAAGAAAAAGUCAUUUUCCUUUUUUUUUUUUUUUUUUUUUUUUUAAUGUACUAUAAUUUUAAAAAAACACACAUAUUGUCUUAUUUGUGAAAUGUGAAGGUUUAAAAGAUUAAAAGUUCCUGGGUAUGCAGGAGUUGUACUGAGAACAAUUGUUGAGCAUCUUCAGUUUCCCUAAAACCAUUGUAGUUCCCACUGACAGAAGUGCACUUGUCACGGAUGCAGGAGACGACACACGAUGGAAGAACACGUCGCUGGCCUCUUCCCAGAUGUUUGCCUUUCAACGCCCACUCAAGAACAACCCUAUAUGCCACCAAUCGGAGUUGCCUAAAACAAGAAAACCGUAAUACAGGGUGAUUAAAAAAGAAAGUGCCAAAAUCAACAUGUGAUAGAUCAAAAGUAUAUAUAUUAUUUUAAAAAGUUACAGAACUCUUAAAAGUAAUAAAGUAGUGGCUCAUAGUCCGCAAAUUACGUAACUUCAAGUUUUUAAAUCAAGUGCUCUAAGGUGACCAUCACCGGCAAUUGAAAUACAUGAAAUAAUACUUGAAGUUAUGUUCAACACAUUUGCCUUUGUCAAAAUUUUAUGUUUUUCAUUUUUGACAUAUUGCGUGAUGAUUUAGGCACAUUUUUGUAAAUAAUUGCCAUACUGCUACUGCUUUUUAUAUUGACAAUGCUUUUACGCUCACAAUGCAUUACUGUUGAGAUGAUUUGCUGCUUUCCUGAAGUAGAACUAAGCUUAGAGUAUACUGUACGAAUAUUCGCCCAGUGGCAAAAUAAAGGAUGCAUGAAUCCACUUACCUCAUUGAUAGCUGCCAGUUUUUUUCCAGUUGGUGUUGUCUACGAAGAAAAAAGUUUCAAGAACACCUUUGCUUGAGAAGUUUUGGUGUUCACUUGCAAUGGUUUAUUGAGGUCCUGAAAACUGUUCAGCUCCAAUUCUUCCCUGCAUUUUGGGGGCAGGAAGUCGCUUCGUUGCCACCAAAAAAAAAAAAAAGUGGUGAAAGGACCGAUGUGAUAUCCCUCCGCCCAGCUUGCCCAGCCAGCUUGUUCUCUUCUAUGCAAAGCAACUGCAAAGUUACUAAUGUUGCUGUUCUUACUGCAGUUAUUGACAUGCAGUGGUAACUUUUAAUAACUUUAUCCUGAAAACAUAGCCAACACUAUUGAUUGCAUGCGUCAUCAAUGAUUCUCCUGCGUGCAUAUGUAUUUUUUUUAUUAGUAUGCUAAUUGGCCAUAUUGACUUGCAUUAGCCUAGCCACUCCGGAGCCCUGAAAAAUAAUAGAAGACUAACAAACGAU